AGCGAACGCUGGCGGCAGGCCUAACACAUGCAAGUCGAACGAAGCUUUCGGGCUUAGUGGCGGACGGGUGAGUAACACGUGGGAACGUACCUUUUGGUUCGGAGCAACUCAGGGAAACUUGAGCUAAUACCGGAUGAGCCCUUAGGGGGAAAGAUUUAUCGCCGAAAGAGCGGCCCGCGUUAGAUUAGCUAGUUGGUGAGGUAAAGGCUCACCAAGGCUACGAUCUAUAGCUGGUCUGAGAGUAUGAUCAGCCACACUGGGACUGAGACACGGCCCAGACUCCUACGGGAGGCAGCAGUGGGGAAUCUUGCGCAAUGGGCGAAAGCCUGACGCAGCCAUGCCGCGUGAAUGAUGAAGGUCUUAGGAUUGUAAAAUUCUUUUACCAGGGACGAUAAUGACGGUACCUGGAGAAAAAGCCCCGGCUAACUUCGUGCCAGCCGCCGCGGUAAGAC
rnacentral:rRNA from 1 species